CUCCGUCCCUCGGGUGGCCUCUGCCCCGCAGCUGUUCUCUGCCCCGCAGCUGUUCUCUGCUGCAACCCCGGCGGGCUUGUCCUGGCCGCCCUCCAGCGCCGCAGGCUGAGGGAUCGGCCCCGGGACCGGGACCGGGAUCGGGAUGGGCCCAGCGGGGCUGGCGGCUGUGAGGGGCGCGGGGGCUGCGAGCGCUGUGGGUUUUCCUGCCCGCCUUGGCUCCUGAACUGCCGCGCUCCUGUGCUUGUUCUUCCCGGAGCUCUCGAGGUGUUGCUCACACGCCGCCUCUGCAGGGUAGGAAGUGCCUUUGCUCCUGAGGCCAGGGAAGGAGAAACAGCAGUCUGAGGGCUUAACCAUGACCAGCAAGGUGAGGAGCAGUUCACACAUCCCCUGGCAGAGUCUCCAUCAGUGUGUGCUGCCUGAGCUUCCUGCUCCCCUUCGGAAUUUGGAAAUUCAGCAGCGCAGGUGAAAGUAUCAAGGUUUAUGUCCGUCUUUAGUUUUUGCAUUUCAGUACUUCAGAUUUCACUGCAAAUUCUUUGAGAUCUUCAGCACAUGGAAGAUUAGAAUCAGUAAUUUAGUAUCAUAAUGAAGAGUAAUUAAGGCCUUUCCUAGAUACCAGAAGGCGAUCAAGGAAAGCUCUCUUCUUUCUUUCCAAGUCUCAUCUGGUGCUAUCAAGAUUAAAUGAAGCACAACUCAUGGUUAAUGAAGUUUUUACUCUUCUACUAAAAAAAAAUUUAGUCUCUUAAAAUACUUCCCUUUUGCCUUUCAGACACAAUUUCUGUCCAUACUUUGUCUAUUUUAGUGGAGUCAUAUGCCAUAUUUAGCCCAGACAAACUUUUUUAGAGUUUACUAAUUUCAAAACAUUGUCGAGUAGACACACUAGUAUGUUUUCUCUAUAUACUGUCAGCCUGAUUCACGUGCCUGUAAGUUCAUCUAACACUCUUUCCACUGUUGCACAGAAAACAAAUGACCUUUCAGGGAAAUACCUAUCAGUGUUUCAAUCACUGAUGCUGCUUUUCAGUUAGGAUUAUUAAAAAUCUCAAACUUCAUUCUCCUAGAAGUGCAGAACAACUGCAUUUUAGUCAUUUUAGAUGCUGGAGUCCAGUUUAAGAGGGUGAUGUGUAGCAGUAGGCACUACAGUGAUUAAUGAGAUUUCAGUAGCUUUUCCAUAGCUUCCUGCCUGGAGCCAAAAAACAAAACAAAUCAACAAACAAACAAAAAAAUCCAACCCCAAACCCAUAACAGCAGAUUAGUUGUGUGCCUUUCACUGCUUCUUGUAAAAUGUUAAUGGACUCCUAAAGGUUUCAUUUUUGAAUGAGAACCAUUUCAGCAAGAAUUUUAGCAGAUGCAGAGGACAUUCGAGGAACUUGUGAAAAUUCCUUAUGUUCUGCUUUAUAAAGUCUAUAGGCACAUUUGGCACAAGCUGUCAAUCUGACACUGAUUUCCAGGCAUUUAAACAGGCCAAAUAAAAUGCCAUUUCUGUAAUACUUUUAUAUUUUCCCUUUCUUUCAAGUGUAUAUAAAGUACACAUCUGAAUAAAUAAUAUUGUACUCCUUUAUUUUAGGUGUAGGUAGCAGUCACAAGAGAUUAAAUGCUGCUAUGUGUAACGAAGCAUGAAGAUGACAAGAUACAUGAACCAGAGGCUUUUCAGCUCAAUCACAUCAUCCAGCACAUAAUUAUACAGAUUUUGUAUUUCAGACACCAAUGUCACCUUGGGGUUGAAAUCAUUCUAGAUGAAUUGGUAAAGAUACUAUUGAUCCAAAAUUUAUUAGCAGUGUUCUGCUAGAGCCAGCGGAGGGCAGACUUGAAUUGGAAACUCUUUUUGCUACUGCAGUUACUUGAAGUUAAAAUACCAGAUAUAUCAUGUCUUGAGCUCAAAGUCUCAUCACUUCUCUACUAUUCUAAUUACAGUUGUGCUGGAUAAAAGCCUCUUUGCAGUUCCUGUUUGACAAAAUGAGUGUUUUGCGAAUGUUUAAAUAAAGAUGCUAAUAUGAAAGUGAAUAAGUCAGUGUGUUAGCAGCUGUGUGUUACUCAUCAGGGAUUAUCCACACUGCUUAAUCCUUAACCAUGUAUAUCUUGAAAUGCUUGUUAAAAGCUAGUGAAUAUAAUUAUCCCCAUUUUACAGAUGAAGAAACUGAAAAAUAGAGUGGUAACCUUACAGAUUACCCAUCUGGGUGACCUACAGAAACAAGAAUAAAGUCCAGUUUUUGAGAUCUAAUCCAGUGCUUUGCAACAUAAAGUAUUUUAACUCUUGAAAACAUUAUGGAAAUUAUUGCUAGAAGCCCAAAUUGUAGAGACCGAGGAGCUUACACUGUUGAAAUAGCAGGCAGCCUGACAGCCGGGUUGUAGAUCUUAAGAAGAAUAUUCUUCCCAAGAAGAUGGGUGGCAGUCAGAUCAAAGGCCUAAAGAUCCACUUUAAAGUAGUAUUUUGUUUUUAAAACAAGUACUUUGCAUUUUUAGGCAUAUUUGUUAUUCAUUAGGUUAGGUUGGAGUCUUUCAAAACAACUUUAUGAUAGCCUGUGUCUGGCUCUUGUUAUGUAUAAUGUGUUGUGGCUUCACACAUUUUUAAGUGCUGUGUGAAGGUCUGUAAGAAUAUAUUAUAAAAGAGGCCACUCGGAGCUUCUUGGUCAUUUCUCCUUGUACCUUGUGCAAUUGUACCUCACAAAGAGUUGUCACCUCCAAAUUGUCAUCACUUUCCAUAACUCACAGAGGCCUGAAAAUGCAAUUAUCUCAAAAGGGAAAAGAUUCAUUUACUCUUCUGCAGAACAUAAACUCUCCUUGAAAUAACCACUAAUUGAAGGCAUUUGUACACAGGCUCAUUUUAUAGUAAACCACUGGAUGCCUCAGCUCAAGAAGCAGCAAGAAAGAUAAUUCAAUUAAUGAAAACUGCUGCUUUGAGAAAUUUGGUUUCCAGUCUCAAAGUUAUUUUAUUUAUCCCUAAUUAUACAUUGCUGAAAACUGUUAACCAUUAUUAGGGGCAGAUGAGUCUGAGGUUUGGGGGUAUGGCUGGUUUUGCCUGCUGUGAGCUUCCCAGGUUUACACAUCCACCUCCAUAAUGAUCAUCUCUUUCACUAAUCCAAGUUACUGUGUAUUUUUUUUGUAUUCAACUUUCCCUUUUAUUUGUAAAAUGUGUGUGAAAUGUUCAAAACAGUGAUUUAAGAGCGGUUAAGAUAUUACUGCCUCAGAAACACAUCAUUGUUUACAUACACUUGUGUUUGUUGUGCUGAGCAGGCCCAGCUGAGUUACAGAUAAGGCAAAUUAACUGUAUCAGAGCAAGUUGGCCAAAAGCUUGUCCCUGUAUUUCUUUACAUGGAAAAUAAAGGAUACAUGUAUAUACUGUCUGAAUAGAGAGCAUGAUGGUUUUGUGUGCCUGUGCCAAAAUUAAUCCAAUAGUAUUUUAUUGGAAAAAUAAAAUUAGUUUUGGAUUUAAAAAAUUGGAAUAUGUAAUGUAUAAAAUACAUAUUUGAUCAAGAUCAGUUCCUCUGGUAAUGUUCCUUCAGAGAGGAGGGUUUUAAUGACAGGGAAAAGAUACUUCUACAUCUAUGGAAGUUAAAGCCUGCUGCUGCCAAGUGGCUAGGACCCUUAAAUGUGUGUUGAAGUGUCCUACUCUUAGUAAAUCAGAAAUAUUUAUACUUGCUGUCUCAAGUAGUAGAAAGAACACUAGCAACUGCUUCCAUGUUUAGAAUUCUGUGGAGUCUGCUACCUGUGAGCAGACUCCACUUAAAUAAAGUCUCUGGAACUGUUAAUUGCUAACCUCAUUCUUGACAUACUUCAGCCUCCAUCAGCCUGCUACAACUUCUGUUACACCUUCUGGGAUUCUAUCUAUAGCAAUUGCUUUCUCUCCCCAGUUGGCUCCAAGCCAGAAAUAUAUCCAUUUGCACAAAUGCUUCUUAACCUUGUUCACACUGGGGUGGGGGGGAAGGGGGGAGUCAUAUUUUUUUCUUUCUGCUUGUCUGGUUGGUGGAUACUUUUAUACUAAAUUCAGUACUUGCCAUGUUCUCUGUGUAAUGCACAAGUGGUUACAAUGCCUUUUCUAAGCUACUCUUUGUUUCACUUUAGGUGCACUGAAUAAAACUAUUUCUCCAUGGUCA